UGGGGAAUCUUGGUCAAUGGGCGCAAGCCUGAACCAGCGACGCCGCGUGAGUGAUGAAGGCCUUCGGGUUGUAAAGCUCUGUGGGGAGGGAAGAACAAGGUGCGGUCGAACAGGCCGUGCCCUUGACGGUACCUCCUUAGCAAGCACCGGCUAACUCUGUGCCAGCAGCCGCGGUAAGACAGAGGGUGCGAACGUUGCUCGGAAUUACUGGGCGUAAAGCGCGUGUAGGCGGGUCGGUGUGUCAGGUGUGAAAUCCCUGGGCUCAACCUAGGAACUGCAUCUGAAACUGCCGGUCUUGAGUGACGGAGAGGGCAGCGGAAUUCCUGGUGUAGAGGUGAAAUUCGUAGAUAUCAGGAGGAACACCGGUGGCGAAGGCGGCUGCCUGGACGUCUACUGACGCUGAGACGCGAAAGCGUGGGGAGCAAACAG
rnacentral:rRNA from 1 species